rnacentral:rRNA from 1 species
GAUGAACGAUGGCGGCGUGCCUAAUACAUGUAAGCUGAGCGAACAGACGAGGAGCUUGCUCAUCCGACGUUAGCGGCGGACGGGUGAGUAAAAGGUGGAUAACCUACCUAUUAGACUGGGAUAACUUCGGGAAACCGGAGCUAAUACCGGCAAAUCUAUUGAACCGCAUGGUUCAAUAGCGAAAGACCGUUUUGCUGUCACUCCUAGAUCGAUCCGCCCCGCAUUAGCUAGUUGGUAAGGUAACGGCUUACCAAGGCAACGAUGCGGAGCCGACGUGAGAGGAUUACCAGCCAUGCUAGAACUGAGACAAGGACAAAGCUCCUUAGGGAGGCGCCAGUAGGGAAUCUGCCACGAGAGGCGAAAGCCUGACCUAGCAACGCCGCUUAGGUGAGGAGGGUUUGCGGAUCGUAAAACACUAUUAUUAGGGAAGAACAAUUGUGUAAAUAACUAUCCGCGUCUUGAGGUUACCUAAUCAGAAAGCCAGUGCUAACUACGGG